GUCAAACUUCACAACUCCGCCCCCUGAGCGCAGCGAGUCAACGUUUUUCAGCACAGCAGUCAGAAACCAGAAACAGAUGAACGUCUUCGUCUUGUAACGGUCUUCUUUCUUGGCUCUGGAGGCGGCACUUGGUGUUCACAAGUUCCAGCAAAGCUUGGGAUGUUUUGCAGUCUCAUUUCAUCUGAUGUAAAAUGCAGAAGAGGACAGAAACAGAUGGAAUGGGAGACAGAGAGGAGCUUCCGGCAAACUGGACCUGAAAGGGAACAAGGGGAAUCCAGCAAUCAGUAGAGGAUGGAAAGAAAGGAUGGACUGAGUGGCAGGGCCUAGACAGUACACAUGCAUGGAAAAUUAACAGAAGAGUGGGAGGGAGAGAUUAGGCAAAUGUGGAGGGAGAAAAGGAAUGGAUGGAUGAGGGAGGGAAAGAAUGGAGGAUGAAACUGAUGGAGAAACAAAAUAGUAAAACAGAAGGAGGCAAGGAGGGAGAGAAGGAGGGAAUUAUAAUAGGUAGGAAUCAAGGGGAUGAAGAAAAGAAAAGUCAGCAAGGCAGAAUAGUUCAGUGAAUGGAGACACUACUUCAGGACAAAAUGAGAGGAAGGAAGAAAUAGAGUAGGAAGGAAAGUGCAAAAUGAAUUUGAGAAAGGUGGAAAGGAGAGAGAGAAGAACUCCGAUAUACGAAUAGAAUGAGGGAAAAAUUAAAAAGAAAGGAAAUAAAAAUAGCAAAGUAGAACUGGGAACAAACAAAGAAA